UCCACCACUGUAUGUUUGACCUCUCAUGCUACCAGACGGAAUAGUCUGAAUUGGCAGACCCCUCCAUUUUCCCCUUUCUUGCUGCACAACAUCCCAAGUUUUGAAGGCUACAGGAGAAGCCCAACCAUUUUGGGUAUUAAUCUGAAACAAAUCUGCUCAAAGUCUCGGGCAAAUCUCGCUCAUUAUAUGAUGAACGGCUAUUUUACCGUUCAAAACCCCACAUUUCAAAACGUUAGAGGUAAAAAUCCCGCCCAAAGAACCCUAAAAUCCGCCUAUAAAUAACAAGUUAUUGCAGCCAUUUAGGGGGGAGCUUCAGACGACACCUCUAUUCCCCUUCCAGUUUAAGUUAGCCUCUUAAGCUUGGCAGAGAUUUUCUCUGCUCUAGUUAUGUAGCUUUGUUUGUGAAAGGAGUUUGGACUGGAGAGUUGAGUGGCCCUCGCAAACGCCCUUAGUUCACUGCCCCGAAGAAGGGAUAUUUUUCAGUUAAUUUGAUGUGUUUCUCCAAGAUGCAAGUGAUGGCUGCACGGGAUGCGGAUUAUGAUCUCUCAAAUGUCCAAAGAAGAUUACUCCCGCAACUUAAUACUUGUUUUAGAUCUUGUCAACGGGACAGUGAUUGCAGUGAUUGUUGGAUUUGUUGUUCACGUUUAUUCGCAACAUUCAAUACUCUCCAGUGUGGUAUCGACGUGGGAGGCCAUAUAUAACAGUACGUCCUGUAGCCUAUUGAAAUAAUCUGCUACAAAAAAAUGUUGCUCGUUUAUGGUAUCCUGUAGCUUCUAUGAUUCCUUAAUGGUUACUUUUUCCGUGUUUAUCAUGUGUUGUAUGAAUAAUGAAGAUUGUCAAGUGAUGACACUCGAUUCAAGAAUAAAGACAUAUUUUGAUUUCA